UUGGCUGUUGUCAGCUCGUGUCGUGAGAUGUUGGGUUAAGUCCCGUAACGAGCGCAACCCUUGUCCUUAGUUACCAGCACGUUAUGGUGGGCACUCUAAGGAGACUGCCGGUGACAAGCCGGAGGAAGGUGGGGAUGACGUCAAGUCAUCAUGGCCCUUACGGCCUGGGCUACACACGUGCUACAAUGGUCGGUACAAAGGGUUGCCAAGCCGCGAGGUGGAGCUAAUCCCAUAAAACCGAUCGUAGUCCGGAUCGCAGUCUGCAACUCGACUGCGUGAAGUCGGAAUCGCUAGUAAUCGUGAAUCAGAAUGUCACGGUGAAUACGUUCCCGGGCCUU
rnacentral:rRNA from 1 species